GUCGAGCGGGGAAGGGUAGCUUGCUACCUGACCUAGCGGCGGACGGGUGAGUAAUGCUUAGGAAUCUGCCUAUUAGUGGGGGACAACAUUCCGAAAGGAAUGCUAAUACCGCAUACGCCCUACGGGGGAAAGCAGGGGAUCUUCGGACCUUGCGCUAAUAGAUGAGCCUAAGUCAGAUUAGCUAGUUGGUGGGGUAAAGGCCUACCAAGGCGACGAUCUGUAGCGGGUCUGAGAGGAUGAUCCGCCACACUGGGACUGAGACACGGCCCAGACUCCUACGGGAGGCAGCAGUGGGGAAUAUUGGACAAUGGGCGAAAGCCUGAUCCAGCCAUGCCGCGUGUGUGAAGAAGGCCUUUUGGUUGUAAAGCACUUUAAGCGAGGAGGAGGCUACUUGGAUUAAUACUCUAGGAUAGUGGACGUUACUCGCAGAAUAAGCACCGGCUAACUCUGUGCCAGCAGCCGCGGUAAUACAGAGGGUGCGAGCGUUAAUCGGAUUUACUGGGCGUAAAGCGUGCGUAGGCGGCUUUUUAAGUCGGAUGUGAAAUCCCUGAGCUUAACUUAGGAAUUGCAUUCGAUACUGGGAAGCUAGAGUAUGGGAGAGGAUGGUAGAAUUCCAGGUGUAGCGGUGAAAUGCGUAGAGAUCUGGAGGAAUACCGAUGGCGAAGGCAGCCAUCUGGCCUAAUACUGACGCUGAGGUACGAAAGCAUGGGGAGCAAACAGGAUUAGAUACCCUGGUAGUCCAUGCCGUAAACGAUGUCUACUAGCCGUUGGGGCCUUUGAGGCUUUAGUGGCGCAGCUAACGCGAUAAGUAGACCGCCUGGGGGAGUACGGUCGCAAGACUAAAACUCAAAUGAAUUGACGGGGGCCCGCACAAGCGGUGGAGCAUGUGGUUUAAUUCGAUGCAACGCGAAGAACCUUACCUGGUCUUGACAUAGUAAGAACUUUCCAGAGAUGGAUUGGUGCCU
rnacentral:rRNA from 1 species